rnacentral:tRNA from 1 species
CGGAGUGUAGCUCAGCCUGGUAGAGCACCGUCUUCGGGAGGCGGGGGCCGCGUGUUCGAAUCACGCCACUCCGACCA